rnacentral:tRNA from 1 species
CGCAGGGUAGAGAGGUGGUCAUCUCGCCAGGCUCAUAACCUGGAGGUCGCUGGUUCGAGUCCAGCCUUUGCAACCA